CUGUAAGCCGUUGAAGGUGUCCUGUGAGGGGUGCUGGAGGUAUCAGAAGUGCGAAUGCUGACAUAAGUAACGAUAAAGCGGGUGAAAAGCCCGCUCGCCGGAAGACCAAGGGUUCCUGUCCAACGUUAAUCGGGGCAGGGUGAGUCGACCCCUAAGGCGAGGCCGAAAGGCGUAGUCGAUGGGAAACAGGUUAAUAUUCCUGUACUUGGUGUUACUGCGAAGGGGGGACGGAGAAGGCUAUGUUAGCCGGGCGACGGUUGUCC
rnacentral:rRNA from 1 species